AUGACAGCCAUUUUUUUAUAUGUAUUCAUUUAUCUUGCAAUGGUACAUAACCAAAAAAAGUUUGUGACAAAUUUCCUGUUGUUAAUACUUUCUGAAUUUUCCUGUUUCAAUUUACAGAAACACAAGGACUGGUCCUUUUUGACAUUUUAUUGUUGUUUCUUUAUUCUUAUUUCUAUUUCAAUUUUGUCAUAUUCAUUUUUACUUUUUAUUUUCUAUUAA